CAAUAGCGUAUAUUAAAGUUGUUGCGGUUAAAAAGCUCGUAGUUGGAUCUCGGCAGGCAGGGGGUGGUUCGCUCUUAGCGCUACUGCCCCAUUUGCCUGUGUGAUUGGCGGAGGUUUCGGGGUGCUCUUCGUUGAGUGACCCGGGGCGCCGUCAGGUUUACUUUGAAAAAAUUAGAGUGCUCAAAGCAGGCUUUUCACGCUUGAAUAUUCGUGCAUGGAAUAAUGGAAUAGGAACUCGUUUCUAUUUUGUUGGUUUUCGGAAAUCGAGUUAAUGAUUAAUAGGGACGAUUGGGGGCAUUAGUAUUCAGACGACAGAGGUGAAAUUCUUGGACCGUCUGAAGACUAACUACUGCGAAAGCAUUUGCCAAGAGUGUUUUCAUUAA
rnacentral:rRNA from 1 species